rnacentral:rRNA from 1 species
CAGUAGCCGCGGGAAUACAGAGGGUGCGAGCGUUAAUCGGAUUUACUGGGCGUAAAGCGUGCGUAGGCGGCUUCUUAAGUCGGAUGUGAAAUCCCUGAGCUUAACUUAGGAAUUGCAUUCGAUACUGGGAAGCUAGAGUAUGGGAGAGGAUGGUAGAAUUCCAGGUGUAGCGGUGAAAUGCGUAGAGAUCUGGAGGAAUACCGAUGGCGAAGGCAGCCAUCUGGCCUAAUACUGACGCUGAGGUACGAAAGCGUGGGGAGCAAACAGGAUUAGAUACCCGAGUAGUCCCUGUCUCUUAUAC